GAUGAACGCUGGCGGCGUGCUUAACACAUGCAAGUCGAACGGAUCUGUUCGCUGUUGAAGCUUCGGCAGAUACUUGAACAGGUUAGUGGCGGACGGGUGAGUAACGCGUGGGUAACCUGCCGUAUACAGGGGGAUAACACUUAGAAAUAGGUGCUAAUACCGCAUAAGCGCACAGCUUUGCAUGAAGCAGUGUGAAAAACUCCGGUGGUAUACGAUGGACCCGCGUCUGAUUAGCUGGUUGGUGAGGUAACGGCCCACCAAGGCGACGAUCAGUAGCCGGCCUGAGAGGGUGAACGGCCACAUUGGGACUGAGACACGGCCCAA
rnacentral:rRNA from 1 species